rnacentral:rRNA from 1 species
AAUAGAUACCCUGGUAGUCCACGCCGUAAACGAUGAGUGCUAAGUGUUGGGGGGUUUCCGCCCCUCAGUGCUGCAGCUAACGCAUUAAGCACUCCGCCUGGGGAGUACGGUCGCAAGACUGAAACUCAAAGGAAUUGACGGGGGCCCGCACAAGCGGUGGAGCAUGUGGUUUAAUUCGAAGCAACGCGAAGAACCUUACCAGGUCUUGACAUCCCGGUGACCACUAUGGAGACAUAGUUUCCCCUUCGGGGGCAACGGUGACAGGUGGUGCAUGGUUGUCGUCAGCUCGUGUCGUGAGAUGUUGGGUUAAGUCCCGCAACGAGCGCAACCCUUAUUCUUAGUUGCCAUCAUUCAGUUGGGCACUCUAAGGAGACUGCCGGUGAUAAACCGGAGGAAGGUGGGGAUGACGUCAAAUCAUCAUGCCCCUUAUGACCUGGGCUACACACGUGCUACAAUGGACGGUACAAACGGUUGCCAACCCGCGAGGGGAGCUAAUCCGAUAAAACCGUUCUCAGUUCGGAUUGUAGGCUGCAACUCGCCUACAUAAACG